rnacentral:rRNA from 1 species
UACAGAGGUCCCAAGCGUUGUUCGGAUUCAUUGGGCGUAAAGGGUGCGUAGGCGGCGCGGUAAGUCGGGUGUGAAAUCUCGGGGCUUAACUCCGAAACUGCAUUCGAUACUGCCGUGCUUGAGGACUGGAGAGGAGACUGGAAUUUACGGUGUAGCGGUGAAAUGCGUAGAUAUCGUAAGGAAGACCAGUGGCGAAGGCGGGUCUCUGGACAGUUCCUGACGCUGAGACACGAAGGUCAGGGGAGCAAACGGG